GGGUUGUAGCUCAGUUGGCUAGAGCGUCUGUUUUGCAAGCAGAAUGUCGAGAGUUCAAUUCUCUCCUUCUCC
rnacentral:tRNA from 1 species